ensembl:lincRNA
UCUUGCUGGAGCUUAACAAAAAUUAACCAGUCACACUUCCUCCACUGUCAGAACUUGUCACCUCCGAGAGAAAAUAAAAUAUCCAAGCCCACAGAGCAUCAGCGACUUGUCCCAAAUACGAUGGUGGAGAAGCAUGCCUUGUGUGACUUUUGAGAAUAGACAACACAUGCUGAAAGGUGGAGUUCAAGAGUGGACUGAAAGCCCUUGGGAAAGGCCACAUUAUGUCCCCCUGAAGCUUGUUUUUCUUGGGAGAUGGUGAUAAUGAAAUUAUAUCAGAACUCUGAACCCUGAGGAAGGCUCAAGUGAGAUAUGAACUGUAGCUCUGGUUCCAACAAUAAUCACAUGGCCUCCGCCAAAAUGCAAGCCAGCUAUAUCAGCAAGUGCUUGUUUCAGGAAACAACUGUCUUAUCCAAUACAGGAGAAAAGAUUGGCUAUGCUAGACUAAUUGGAGAGGCCACAUCUUUCUCCAAAGUGGCACCAAACUAAUUUUGCCUGGUGAUAUUGACUCCUUGAAAACUUUACUGUACAUAUUGCCUUUCCUGAAACUCCCAUGAAAUGUGACUUCACUGAAAAAGAAUGUCAAUCACGGCGAGAGUUUAUAGUACUGAAAAUCCAGGAAUAACAUCCAGAUCCAGCAGCAGACAUUCGAAAAACAUUGGGAACAUUCAUUCAGUGGAAUACUCUACACCCAUUAGAUAGAAGACGCCAAGGAUUGUAUGUUGUUAUGAAGGUGUCCGAUACAUUGAGAGACAAAGGAGGCUACAUAAGAGCAGGUAAAAUGUCAUUUACUUAUGUAAUAUUUAAG